rnacentral:rRNA from 1 species
UGGUGGAGUGAUUUGUCUGGUUAAUUCCGUUAACGAACGAGACCUCGACCUACUAAAUAGCUCAGACAUGUCCGCAUGGACUGAUGCUUCUUAGAGGGACUUUAGUGUUAGUAGCCUAAGGAAGUUCGAGGCAAUAACA